GAUGAAGAACGUAGCGAAAUGCGAUAAGUAAUGUGAAUUGCAGAAUUCAGUGAAUCAUCGAAUCUUUGAACGCACAUUGCGCCCGCCAGCACUCUGGCGGGCAUGCCUGUCCGAGCGUCAUUUCAACCCUCAGGGCCCCUUCGGGGGACCUGGCGUUGGGGAUCGGCCCGCCCCCGUGCGGCGCCGUCCCCGAAAUAUAGUGGCGGUCUCGCUGCAGCCUCCCCUGCGUAGUAGCACACCUCGCACUGGAGAGCGGCGCGGCCACGCCGUGAAACCCCCAACUUCUGAAUGUUGACCUCGGAUCAGGUAGGAAUACCCGCUGAACUUAAGCAUAUCAAAGCGGAGGA
rnacentral:misc_RNA from 1 species